rnacentral:rRNA from 1 species
UACGGGGGGGGUAAGCGUUGUUCGGAAUUACUGGGCGUAAAGGGCUCGUAGGCGGCCAACUAAGUCGGAUGUGAAAUCCCCAGGCUCAACCUGGGAACUGCAUCCGAUACUGGAUGGCUUGAAUCCGGGAGAGGGAUGCAGAAUUCCAGGUGUAGCGGUGAAAUGCGUAGAUAUCUGGAGGAAUACCGGUGGCGAAGGCGGCAUCCUGGACCGGCAUUGACGCUGAGGAGCGAAAGCUAGGGGAGCAAACGGG